rnacentral:misc_RNA from 1 species
AUAGGAUGGAUAUGAAUGUGUUGAUACUUGUGUUGAUGGAUAUGAAUGUGUUGAUAUGAAUGAGUUGAUACUUGUUAUGAUGGAUAUGUGUUCAUACUUGUGUUUAUACUUGUUAAUAUUGUGAACGUGCUUUAUAGCAUAAACUCAGCGGGAGCUUGUGUACAGAAAAUAGAUUUCUUGGAAAUUAUGUGCAUAUAUUUAGGGGGAGCAUUUUCGGCAUACUAUACUGCUUGGAUUCACAUACUCACAUAAACUUUCACACACUUUUAUUUUUUAUUGUUGAUUCAAUUGAGUUUUGUCAUCA